GUCAAUCUGUUCACUGAAAAUUUUUAAAUAGCUGCAGUAUGUUGACUGUACUAAGGUAGCAUAAUAAAUUGUCUUUUAAUUGAAGAAUAGAAUGAAAGAUUUAAUGAGAUAUAUACUGUCUCUGAUAUAUUUAAUAAAAUUAAAUUUUAAGUUAAAAUGCUAAAAUUAAAUUAUGGGACGAUAAGACCCUAUAGAAUUUUAUAUUAUUAAUAAAUUAAUAAUAAUUUUGUUUUUAUUUUAUUAAUAAUAUUUGAUUGGGAUGAUUAAUAAAUUUAAUUAACUUUAUUAAAUUUUAAACUUUGAUUUAAGAAAAUUUAAAAUUGAUGUAUUUAAUAAUAAUUAAUAAAAUAAAUUACCUUAGGGAUAACAGCGUAAUAUCUUUUAUAAGAACUUAUUAAUAAAGAUGUUUGCGACCUCGAUGUUGAAUUAAGAUAAAUUUUAAAUGUAGAAAUUUAAAAAUUAAGUCUGUUCGACUUUUAAAAUCUUACAUGAUUGGACUUG
rnacentral:rRNA from 1 species